CGAUAUAUAUUAAUUUAUUUUAAUUUAAGUUAUGUUUAUACAAUUAUUUUUUUUUGCAGAAAAGAAUUUUUUGAUUUUAUUGAUAUAUAUAUUUAUAUAUUUUUUUUCUUUUUGUAGAGUAUUUGCUCCCAAAAACAAGAUGUAGAGAAACAAGACGACUAUUCAUAUAACUAUUUGGAAUUCUUUUUUUUAUUAUAAACUAUUUAAGAUAAGUCAUGGAUGUACUUAAUUUUUUAAACAAAUACAAAUACAUAUGAGCAGAAUGAGAAUUAAAAACAAUGAGGUCUGGUUUGAAUAUUGUUACUUUAUUAUGAGAUUAUCCAAUCCCAAAAGCAAGAAGCUCGGAAAGAAAUAAAAGAAUGAACUGAAAGAGUUAACUGAUUUGAACUAAUUGAAAGAAUUAACAGAUUUAAGAGGAAAAUGCCAGUACCUACAAAAUUAUUUUAGGUUGAAAUGACUUUAGAGUAUCUAAUUCCAAAAGCAAGGAGUUGGGAAAGAAUUAAUAGAAUUAACUGAAAGAGUUAACUGAUUUGAACUAAUUGAAAGAAUUAACUGAUUUAGGAGAAAAAUGUCAGUAGUCACAAAAAAAAGAAAAAAAAACAUUUUUGUAAACUUUAAAGUCCUUGCAAAACUAAAGGGUAUUUGCUCCCAAAAACAAGAUGUAGAGAAACGAGAGGGCUAUUCAUAUAACUAUUUGGAAUCCUUUUUUUUAUUAUAAACUAUUUAAGAUAAGUCAUGAAUGUACUUAAUUUUUUGAAUGAAUACAAAUACAUAUGAGCAGUAUGAGAAUUAAAAACGAUGAGGUCUGAUUUGAAUAUUGUUACUUUAUUAUGAGGUAUGCUUUUUAUAUUGCUAAUUUUUUUGUUGCUAAAAAAAAAAAUUUAUCAAAAACUUAUUUUGUUUUUUGGAUAAAUCAUUAUAAAUAUAAUGUUGCUUUUUGAAUA